GGCUGGGCGCCCGGCGGCGGCGGAGCGCGGUCUGCGCGCGCGGGGAGCGAGAGCAGAAGUUAGAGACGCGCCGCGGGGGGAGCCCGCGCCGCAGCUUCCUGCCCCCGGCCCAGCCCUCCGGCCCCCGCGGCUGCAGCCCGACUUCCUCCCCCCGCCCGCCGCCUGCGCCUCGGACCCGGCCGCCGCGAUGGCACGCCGCGCCCGGGCCCCCGCGCGCCGCUGAGCCGAGCCCCGCGCCGCCGCCGAGCCCCCCGCGCGCCGCCGGCUGCCGCUCCCCUCGGCCCCGGGCCGGGAGCCGCGUCCCCCGCCGCCCUCCACCCCCCCGGAAAGCUGGAUCUCCGAGGCUGGAGGCGCCUGGCCGGCUGGGUGGGGACCACCAUGGGCAACGCGGCCGGCAGCGCGGAGCAGCCCGCGGGCCCGGCCGCCCCGGCCCCCAAGCAGCCCGCGGCGCCCAAGCAGCCGAUGCCCGCGGAGGGGGAGCUGGAGGAGCGGUUCAACCGCGUCCUGAACUGCAUGAACCUGCCCCCGGACAAGGUCCAGCUGCUGAGCCAAUAUGACAAUGAGAAGAAGUGGGAGCUCAUCUGUGACCAGGAGCGGUUUCAAGUCAAGAACCCGCCCACAGCUUACAUCCAGAAGCUGAAGAGCUACCUGGAAACGGGUGGGGUCAGCCGCAAGGUAGCAUCGGAUUGGAUGUCCAACCUGGGGUUUAAGAGGCGAGUCCAGGAGUCCACGCAGGUGCUGCGGGAGCUGGAGAUCUCCCUGAGGACGAACCACAUCGGGUGGGUGCAGGAGUUCCUCAACGAGGAGAACCGGGGCCUGGAUGUGCUCCUCGACUACCUGGCCUUCGCCCAGUGCUCCGUCACGUAUGACAUGGAGAGCACGGACAAUGGGGCCCCGGGCGCGGAGAAGAGCAAGGCCCUGGAGCAGUCCGUGGAAGACCUCAGCAAGGGCCCCCCCGCCCCCUCGGCAACACAGCCCAGGAGUCGGCACCUGACCGUCAAGUGCCCCCCUUCUCCCCGGCUGACGCCAGCCCACAGCAGGAAGACCCUGCGGAACUCCCGCAUCGUCAGCCAGAAGGAUGACGUCCACGUCUGCAUCAUGUGCUUGCGCGCCAUCAUGAACUACCAGUCUGGCUUCAGCCUCGUCAUGAGCCACCCAGCCUGUGUCAACGAGAUCGCGCUGAGCCUCAACAACAAGAACCCCAGAACCAAGGCGCUGGUGCUGGAGCUGCUGGCGGCUGUGUGCCUGGUGCGGGGAGGACACGACAUCAUCCUUGCAGCCUUUGACAACUUCAAGGAGGUGUGCGGGGAGCAGCACCGCUUUGAAAAGCUGAUGGAAUACUUCCGGCUGGAAGACAGCAACAUCGACUUCAUGGUGGCCUGCAUGCAGUUCAUCAACAUCGUGGUGCACUCCGUGGAGAACAUGAACUUCCGGGUCUUCCUGCAGUACGAGUUCACCCACCUGGGCCUGGACCUGUACCUGGAGAGGCUUCGGCUCACCGAGAGCGACAAGCUGCAGGUGCAGAUCCAGGCGUACCUGGACAACGUGUUCGACGUGGGCGUGCUGCUGGAGGACACGGAGACCAAGAACGCCGUGCUGGAGCACAUGGAGGAGCUGCAGGAGCAGGUGACCCUGCUCACAGAGCGGCUCCGGGACGCGGAGAACGACUCCAUGGCCAAGAUCGCGGAGCUGGAGAAGCAGCUGAGCCAGGCCCGCAAGGAGCUGGAGGCCAUGCGGGAGCGCUUCAGCGAUGCCGCGGCCGCGGGCGUCCCCAGGCGGCCGGAGCCAGAGAAGGUGCCCGCGCCCGCCGCCGCGGCCAGGCCCUCGGCUCUGGAGCUGAAGGUGGAGGAGCUGGAGGAGAAGGGGCUGCUCCGCAUCCUGCGGGGCCCCGGGGACGCUGUCUCCAUCGAGAUCCUCCCUGUCGCCGUGGCAACUCCAGGCGGCGGUGAUGCCCCGACGCUGGGCGUGCCCGCCAGCUCCCCCAGCCCAGAGCCGGCUCCCGGAGCGGCAGCCCCGCCGCCGCCGCCCCCGCUGCCCGGCCAGCCCGCCCCGCAGGAAGCCCCGCCCCCGGCCCCGCCCCUCCCCGGCGGCGGCGCGGAGGCCCCGCCCCCGCCGCCCCCUCUGCCCGGCGUCCUGCCGCCCCCGCCGCCGCCGCCGCCGCCUGGCCCGGGUGGACUGGUGCCCCCGCCGCCCCCACCGCCUCCCGGGGGCCCCUCUGACGGCGGUGCAGAGCCCGGCCCAGCCAUGGGCCCAGGAGUGAAGGCCAAGAAACCCAUCCAGACCAAGUUCAGAAUGCCCCUCUUAAACUGGGUGGCCCUGAAACCCAGCCAGAUCACGGGCACUGUCUUCACGGAGCUCAAUGAUGAGAAGGUGCUGCAGGAGCUGGACAUGAGUGAGUUUGAGGAGCAGUUCAAGACCAAGUCCCAAGGCCCCAGCCUGGACCUCAGUGCUCUCAAGGGUAAAGCGGCCCAGAAGGCCCCCAGCAAGGCCACGCUCAUUGAGGCCAACCGUGCCAAGAACCUGGCCAUCACCCUGCGCAAGGGCAACCUGGGGGCCGCCCGCAUCUGCCAGGCCAUUGAGACGUACGACCUCCAGGCCCUCAGCCUGGACUUCCUGGAGCUGCUGACCCGCUUCCUGCCCACGGAGUAUGAGCGCACCCUCAUCGCCCGCUUCGAGCGGGACCAGCGGCCGGUGGAGGAGCUGUCGGAGGAGGACCAGUUCAUGCUGCGCUUCAGCCGCAUCCCGCGCCUGCCGGAGCGCAUGGCUGCGCUGACCUUCAUGGGCAACUUCCCGGAUACCGUGCAGCUGCUCAUGCCGCAACUGAACGCCAUCAUCGCAGCCUCGAUGUCCAUUAAGUCGUCCGACAAACUCCGCCAGAUCCUGGAGAUUGUCCUGGCCUUCGGCAACUACAUGAACAGCAGCAAGCGGGGAGCAGCCUAUGGCUUCCGGCUCCAGAGUCUGGAUGCGCUGCUGGAGAUGAAGUCGACAGACCGAAAGCAGACCCUGUUGCACUACCUGGUGAAGGUCAUUGCUGAGAAGUACCCACAGCUCACAGGCUUCCACAGUGACCUGCACUUCCUGGACAAGGCAGGCUCAGUGUCGCUGGACAGCAUCCUCGGGGACGUGCGCGCCCUGCAGCGAGGCCUGGAGCAGACCCAGCGGGAGUUUGUGCGGCAGGAUGACUGUGUGGUGCUCAAGGAGUUCCUGAGGGCCAACUCGCCCACCAUGGAUAAGCUGCUGGCGGACAGCAAGACGGCUCAGGAGGCCUACGACUCUGUGGUGGAAUACUUCGGAGAAAACCCCAAAACCACGUCCCCCUCCAUGUUUUUUACCCUCUUCAGUCGCUUUGUCAAGGCCUACAAGAAAGCGGAGCAGGAGGUGGAGCAGUGGAAGAAAGAAGCGGCUGCGCAGGAGGCAGGCGCGGAAACGCCAGGCAAAGGGGAGUCCCCGGCACCCAAGUCCCCGCCCAGGGUUCGGAGGCCACAGAUGGACCUCAUUUCUGAGCUGAAGCGGAAGCAGCAGAAGGAGCCGCUCAUCUAUGAGAGUGACCGUGAUGGGGCCAUUGAAGACAUCAUCACAGUGCUCAAGACGGUGCCCUUCACGGCCCGCACUGGCAAGCGGACAUCCAGGCUCCUCUGUGAGGCCAGCCUGGGCGAGGAGAUCCCCCUCUAGCUCGCAGACCUGCGGAACCAGCCCUACAUCCGCUCCGACACCGGCCGCCGCAGCGCUCGCCGGAGACCCCCGGGGCCCCCCCUGCAGGCCACCUCGGACCUGUCGCUGUAGCCCCCGUUUCCGCAGACGGACUCUGGGGAUGGGGGAGAGGGGGCAAGAUGGGCUCAGGAAGGUGGUCCUCAGCUCGGCUGGGCCGGGCAGCCCCUCUGCCGCUGCCCCCAGCCAGGGGCUCACCGACGGGCAGGCGCACUCUCAUCUCGCUGCAGGGGUCAGAAUCGCCGGCCCUCCCCCAGAUGCUGCUUGCAGCACCUUCUCCCCGGAUAGCCAUACUGUACUUCGCCUCAGCGGGAGCCUGGCCGGUAACUUAUAACGUGCAACCUUGCCCCUCCCCGCAUCCGGGACUCUCCAUGGACUUAUUUUUAUACAAGAUUAAUAAAGAUGUUUGCAA